GUGAACUCGAAGAGUAGGGCGGGACACGUGGUAUCCUGUCUGAAUAUGGGGGGACCAUCCUCCAAGGCUAAAUACUCCUGACUGACCGAUAGUGAACCAGUACCGUGAGGGAAAGGCGAAAAGAACCCCGGCGAGGGGAGUGAAAAAGAACCUGAAACCGUGUACGUACAAGCAGUGGGAGCACCUUCGGGUGUGACUGCGUACCUUUUGUAUAAUGGGUCAGCGACUUAUAUUCUGUAGCAAGGUUAACCGUAUAGGGGAGCCGCAGGGAAACCGAGUCUUAACUGGGCGUUAAGUUGCAGGGUAUAGACCCGAAACCCGGUGAUCUAGCCAUGGGCAGGUUGAAGGUUGGGUAACACUAACUGGAGGACCGAACCGACUAAUGUUGAAAAAUUAGCGGAUGACUUGUGGCUGGGGGUGAAAGGCCAAUCAAACCGGGAGAUAGCUGGUUCUCCCCGAAAGCUAUUUAGGUAGCGCCUCGUGAACUCAUCUUCGGGGGUAGAGCACUGUUUCGGCUAGGGGGUCAUCCCGACUUACCAACCCGAUGCAAACUACGAAUACCGAAGAAUGUUAUCACGGGAGACACACGGCGGGUGCUAACGUCCGUCGUGAAGAGGGAAACAACCCAGACCGCCAGCUAAGGUCCCAAAGUCAUGGUUAAGUGGGAAACGAUGUGGGAAGGCACAGACAGCCAGGAUGUUGGCUUAGAAGCAGCCAUCAUUUAAAGAAAGCGUAAUAGCUCACUGGUCGAGUCGGCCUGCGCGGAAGAUGUAACGGGGCUAAACCAUGCACCGAAGCUGCGGCAGCGACACUAUGUGUUGUUGGGUAGGGGAGCGUUCUGUAAGCCUGCGAAGGUGUGCUGUGAGGCAUGCUGGAGGUAUCAGAAGUGCGAAUGCUGACAUAAGUAACGAUAAAGCGGGUGAAAAGCCCGCUCGCCGGAAGACCAAGGGUUCCUGUCCAACGUUAAUCGGGGCAGGGUGAGUCGACCCCUAAGGCGAGGCCGAAAGGCGUAGUCGAUGGGAAACAGGUUAAUAUUCCUGUACUUGGUGUUACUGCGAAGGGGGGACGGAGAAGGCUAUGUUAGCCGGGCGACGGUUGUCCCGGUUUAAGCAUGUAGGCUGGUUAUCCAGGCAAAUCCGGAUAANCAAGGCUGAGGUGUGAUGACGAGGCACUACGGUGCUGAAGUAACAAAUGCCCUGCUUCCAGGAAAAGCCUCUAAGCAUCAGGUAACAUCAAAUCGUACCCCAAACCGACACAGGUGGUCAGGUAGAGAAUACCAAGGCGCUUGAGAGAACUCGGGUGAAGGAACUAGGCAAAAUGGUGCCGUAACUUCGGGAGAAGGCACGCUGGUGUGUAGGUGAAGUCCCUGCGGAUGGAGCUGAGACCAGUCGAAGAUACCAGCUGGCUGCAACUGUUUAUUAAAAACACAGCACUGUGCAAACACGAAAGUGGACGUAUACGGUGUGACGCCUGCCCGGUGCCGGAAGGUUAAUUGAUGGGGUUAUCCGUAAGGAGAAGCUCUUGAUCGAAGCCCCGGUAAACGGCGGCCGUAACUAUAACGGUCCUAAGGUAGCGAAAUUCCUUGUCGGGUAAGUUCCGACCUGCACGAAUGGCGUAAUGAUGGCCAGGCUGUCUCCACCCGAGACUCAGUGAAAUUGAACUCGCUGUGAAGAUGCAGUGUACCCGCGGCAAGACGGAAAGACCCCGUGAACCUUUACUAUAGCUUGACACUGAACAUUGAGCCUUGAUGUGUAGGAUAGGUGGGAGGCUUUGAAGCGUGGACGCCAGUCUGCGUGGAGCCAACCUUGAAAUACCACCCUUUAAUGUUUGAUGUUCUAACGUUGGCCCCUGACCGGGGUUGCGGACAGUGUCUGGUGGGUAGUUUGACUGGGGCGGUCUCCUCCCAAAGCGUAACGGAGGAGCACGAAGGUUAGCUAAUCCUGGUCGGACAUCAGGAGGUUAGUGCAAUGGCAUAAGCUAGCUUGACUGCGAGCGUGACGGCGCGAGCAGGUGCGAAAGCAGGUCAUAGUGAUCCGGUGGUUCUGAAUGGAAGGGCCAUCGCUCAACGGAUAAAAGGUACUCCGGGGAUAACAGGCUGAUACCGCCCAAGAGUUCAUAUCGACGGCGGUGUUUGGCACCUCGAUGUCGGCUCAUCACAUCCUGGGGCUGAAGUAGGUCCCAAGGGUAUGGCUGUUCGCCAUUUAAAGUGGUACGCGAGCUGGGUUUAGAACGUCGUGAGACAGUUCGGUCCCUAUCUGCCGUGGGCGCUGGAGAAUUGAGGGGGGCUGCUCCUAGUACGAGAGGACCGGAGUGGACGCAUCACUGGUGUUCGGGUUGUCAUGCCAAUGGCACUGCCCGGUAGCUAAAUGCGGAAGAGAUAAGUGCUGAAAGCAUCUAAGCACGAAACUUGCCCCGAGAUGAGUUCUCCCUGAGACUNNNNNNNNNNNNNNNNNNNNNGACGUUGAUAGGCCGGGUGUGUAAGCGCAGCGAUGCGUUGAGCUAACCGGUACUAAUGAACCGUGAGGCUUAACCUU
rnacentral:rRNA from 1 species